AUGCAAGUCGACGGGCUCUUCGGAGCAAGUGGCGGACGGGUGAGUAACGCGUGAGAAUGUGCCUUCAGGAUGGGGAUAACAACAGGAAACUAAUGCUAAGACCCAAUGUGCCUUAAGUGGUGAAAAAUGAAAAUUGCCUGAAGAGGAGCUCGCGUCUGAUUAGCUAGUUGGGGUGGUAAAAGCGCACCAAGGCAACGAUCAGUAGCUGGUCUGAGAGGAUGAGCAGCCACACUGGGACUGAGACACGGCCCAGACUCCUACGGGAGGCAGCAGUGGGGAAUUUUCCGCAAUGGGCGAAAGCCUGACGGAGCAAUACCGCGUGAGGGAGGAAGGCUCUUGGGUUGUAAACCUCAAAACUUAGGGAAGAAAAAAAUGACGGUACCUAAUUUAAGCAUCGGCUAACUCCGUG
rnacentral:rRNA from 1 species